rnacentral:rRNA from 1 species
CAGUAGCCGCGGUAAUACAGAGGGUGCGAGCGUUAAUCGGAUUUACUGGGCGUAAAGCGUGCGUAGGCGGCUUUUUAAGUCGGAUGUGAAAUCCCUGAGCUUAACUUAGGAAUUGCAUUCGAUACUGGGAAGAUAGAGUAUGGGAGAGGAUGGUAGAAUUCCAGGUGUAGCGGUGAAAUGCGUAGAGAUCUGGAGGAAUACCGAUGGCGAAGGCAGCCAUCUGGCCUAAUACUGACGCUGAGGUACGAAAGCAUGGGGAGCAAACAGGAUUAGAUACCCCCGUAGUCCCUGUCUCUUAUAC